CGCAGGGCACGUGGCUCGAACAGCACGCAGCCAAUCAGAGAGGCACGGUGAGAAGAGCGCUCCCCCCUCGCCAUAAAAUGUCGGCCCCCAGUGUGUUGCACGGGGAGGGAUUUCUUGUUCCCAUGGCCACUGCAGAAGCUAGACACAGAGGCCGGUUUGGGCUGCCAGUCACAAGAGAAGGCGUACUUGGCAGGAGGCGGGGGCGUUCUGCCUGCUGGAGGGUAGGACUGGUGGGAGGUUCUUGGAAGCCUGGGAGCGGUGACAGGGGCCGCUGAUAGUCUGCGGCAAGAGGUGUCUCAGGAAGCCGCCCAACCUUCCGGCUGAGCCAAGUCGUCCACAGUGGUUUCCCGGCGGUCAGGGUGGUUUAUGUCAUGAUUCCUUGGUUCCAAGCGGCGUUGCUCCUUUGUGGCCGGUGGCAAGGAGGACAGUGCUGGGAGCUCGAGGCAGUGCCUUCGGCAGCUGUGCUCUUCAAAGCCAGUGGCGCUUCUGGUCCUUGGCAAAAGGAGCUGCACUUCCUUCUCCCAGAAGUGGUGUUGCAGAAGUUUGGCAGUGCAAGUGAGGACUUUUUCCUGCAAAUGCAAGGCAAUCUUGGCAGCAGCAGCUGAAAUUGUUUCUCUGAGUCGGUUCAGCCUCGGCUGCUCUCAGCACUGGGAAAAGAGCACCAGCACUGCACAGCAAGAGAGGUUUCCACUCUGUCUCUUUCUCUCUCUUUCUUUGUUUCUUUCUCUCUCUCUCUCUUUCCUUGUUUCUUUCUCUCUCUCUCUCUCUCUUUCUUUCUCUCUCUCUCUCUCUCUUUCUCUCUUUCUUUCCUUCCUUGUUUCCUUGUCUCUUUCCUUCCCUGUUUCCUUCUUACAUUGUUUCCUUGUUUUCUCCCUUCCUUUGUUCCUUCUUCCUAUGUUUCUACAAAGACCUUACACUUCUCAGAGAAAAUCAUUGUGGUUUCUUCUUCUUGUUGUUUUUUGGUACGUUGGUUUUUCAAUUGCCAGGGCCACGUGGAUUCCUGGCUUAUCGUCUCUUUUAACAGUUUUUCCUCUUUGUUGCUGUGUAACCUGAGCCCCUGAAGCAGACUCUGGACUCACCAUUACCGACAACAACCUGCCUGCUCACACCAUGUGCCCCAAAAUAGCCUGGCCUGAGCUGGUGACAUCCACAACAUGACGGUGCUGAGACUAGCCCAUUGCAGCACCUGCUAGCCUCCAUGCAGGCAGACAGGUCCUCUGGCUCCCAAAGGGUUGGCCCAGUUCCAGGAGCAAUUUCAGGGACAGAGUCCAAAAGUCCACUCUUAUUCACAAAAUGUAUUAUGUCCCUUAUGCUCUAUUAUUUAGCAUAAUAAAGUUUGAUUUCAUAGGUCAAAAAACAGUAUGAAGAAAUGAAACUGGUAUAUGUUUGUCUCAACUGAGUAAGCAAAGGAUACACUCAUAAGCUGUAGCUUUUGGAAGCUAGUCUAAAGAAGCAAAGUAACAAAAAAUGCCAAAGUAACAAAAACUGGCCAAGAUGCCAGGUCUUGGCCUAUGCCUCCAAAACCGCAAUCAAUACCACUACAACCCUUUGACAGCCAUGGUCUAAAGCCAUUCCAGUCCCAGUGAAAGGCCCCACUGCCAGGCCAGGCAUCCAACAGUGACAGCAUCUGUUGCUCCUAUAUGCAAGAUGAAACAAUGGAUGAGAAGUCAGGUCAUUUAGAAAGCAGAGGAACUCCUACUAAGAAAGGGGAGAAGAGCGCAAGGCAGGCUACUCUGAAGUGGCUGGCCCAUCAGACAAGCAGGAAGAUGAAGAUAUGAAGGCAUUAAUGACUCCUGAAGCAUCGCCUGGUGCACCUCUGUACUGACAUUGGUGUCUGCAGGGAGGUUUCCCACUCUUUGCUCUCCCAGCUGCUGUUGUGCAGCAGUUUUUUCUAGUUUUUUUCCCUUUUUUUGGAUGUGCUCUCACAGAGGAACAAACUGCAUUGCUCAUGGUUUGCCUCUGGGCAGCAGUGGACCCCUUUGGAAGCGGCUGACACUGGCCCUUAUUCUCACAGUGGCUACCACUGUAGCCCCUCUACUACCAGAAUCUUGCCACAUAAACCCAAUACACUGGGGCAGCUAGCCUGUAGAGUACCAGGGCUUGAAUUAACUAAUGAAACCCUAAAUAUAAUGGGGUGUAGAGGGGGCUGGGAUAACAGUACUACUCUUGGGUGACACCAAGCUGAGUCUAGGGACAGAAUGCUCACUGGGCAAUUAUUGUAUGUACCCGAGGCAGGGACUAUAUUGUUGGGAAAGGAUUUGAUAAUGAAAGUGGGCAUUCAAAUAGUGACUUGUUAGACUGGAAUAACGGUGUUAUUAAUGGGUUGCCUUUGAGAGGAAAGACCCUGAAAUGGGGCAGAAGCAA